AUUUUGUGAUUAUAUAUGCAAAUGGCCAGGAAUAUAUUGUAUUUCAUCUACAUCAUAGGUUGCAGUUACACUUUUGUAUUGAAGAAGUUUCAGGGCUGCCUGGGUGGCUCAGUAGGUUAAGUGUCAAACUUUGGCUCAGGUCAUGAUCUUGGGGUCCUGGGAUCAAGCCCUGUGUCUGGUCUCUGCAUUCAGCAGGGAGUCUGCUUCUCCCUCUCCCUCUGCCCCUCCCCUUGCUCAUGCUCAUUCGCUCUCUCUUUCUCUCCCCCAAAAAUAAAAUCUUUAAAAAAAAAGAAGUUGUAAAAAUAUCAACCAGCGUCUACUUAAAAUGUAUUGUGAGGAAGACAGGCAUACGCUUAAUUGCCAACAGAAGAUUAGACUCUGAUAUUCAAGUGAGGCCCAUUUGACAUAUGGAAGUUCGAUACCUCUGUUUAUUUCAAUCCAAGUGUGGAAACCACCAAAGAACAGAAAAACACCCAAAACUCCACCAAGUGCCAAUGUUCCUCCAGUGACAUGAUGUCUCUUGAAAGAAUGUCAUGCUCUAACGGAUGCAGAAAAAAAGCAAAGAUCUGAAGCAACUGGACUAAAGGGAUCGCCAUGGCAAUCAAGUACCAAAUCAGAAGAGGGCUUCUUUUUUGGUCUGGGGAGUUUUUGCUUUUCGGAAACAUCAUGUGUUGCUUUCUCCAAGCAUCACACACACACACACACACACACACACACACACACACACCAAAAAAAAUACACAGCUUACUAAAUUUAGUUGCAGCUCUGUCACAACAAUGAUGACAAAAUUUUCCUCCGACCACAAUGUGUUUGAGCACAAAUGGUUCCUCUUUCCAGGUUCUGGUUUGUACAUAUACAAAUUCCUAGUGAGGUGACACUCACUCUCCCACAGCAAGACUCCUUCCUGAGGAUGGACAGUGAGGACUCAGCUGUACUCUGGCCGGGCGAAGGCACCGAAGGAAUGAAACUAUAUCCCAGAUGUAUCUAAAUCCAAAUAAAUUAAAACAUGAUGUGGCCCAAACAAGAUUGCCUGCAAGGGACUUCGAGCCUAAAGCUGGCUGGUUGGCUAAGAGUGCUGGACUGCCAAGGGACUUGGGGAGCCUGGCUGGAGAAGAAACUGUGAUGAAUUCGGGGAGUCUGUCCUGCAGAAGCAAGCCCGCAGGCAAAAAGGCGUGGAGACUUUCUUUUGUGGCAUUUGAUGGGGAGGAGGUGUCACUUCAGAUGCUUGAGCUGGGAAUGAAAUGAUCAGAUUGGUACCUUGAGAAGUUUGGGCCCCUGGAGGGGAGAUGCACAGACCCUUGCAAGGGCAUAAGGGAAAGGCUUGAUAAGGACCUGAAGAGAACAGUGGAGGUGAACAGAGGGGAGAAUUGCCCUGAGAGGUGUUUUUGUGCGGGGCUGAAUGGCUGGGCGGGGAAACCAUAUGCACACCAGAUACAGGAAGGGCACAUUUCAAGGUUAAGUACUUUUAGCAUCAAUCUCUCAACUAAUUUUUCGUGGGCAUGAGGACAAUGGGUGGAUAGGGGCAAGUACAAAAGACAACAAAGAGUGCACACUGGCUUAGGAUUUCUCGACUUAAAAAAAAAAAAGGAUUUCUCGACUUUGGCACUAUUGUCAUUUUGAGCUGGAUAAUUCUUUGCGGUGAGUGGGAGUGGGGCUGUCCUGUGCGUAGUAGUAUGUUUAACAGCAUUCCUACCUCUACUCACUAGAUCCCAGUAGCACAC
rnacentral:lncRNA from 12 species